CAGUAGCCACGGUAAUACGUAGGGUGCAAGCGUUAAUCGGAAUUACUGGGCGUAAAGCGUGCGCAGGCGGUUAUAUAAGUCAGAUGUGGAAUCCCCGGGCUCAACCUGGGAACUGCAUUUGAGACUGUAUGGCUAGAGUGUGUCAGAGGGGGGUAGAACUCCACGUGUAGCAGUGAAAUGCGUAGAUAUGUGGAGGAAUACCGAUGGCGAAGGCAGCCCCCUGGGAUAACACUGACGCUCGUGCACGAAAGCGUGGGGAGCAAACAGGAUUAGAUACCCCCGUAGUCCCUGUCUCUUAUAC
rnacentral:rRNA from 1 species